CUUAUAUGGAGAGUUUGAUCCUGGCUCAGGACGAACGCUGGCGGCGUGCCUAAUACAUGCAAGUCGAGCGGA
rnacentral:rRNA from 1 species